AGAGUUUGAUUAUGGCUCAGGAUGAAUGCUGGCGGCAUGCCUAAUACAUGCAAGUCGAGCGGUAACAGGACUAGCUUGCUAGUGCUGACGAGCGGCGGACGGCUGAGUAACGCGUGGGAACGGACCCAAACUGAGGGAUAACGCACCGAAAGGUGUGCUAAUACCGCAUGUGAUCUUCGGAUUAAAGCUUUCGAGCGGUUUGGGACUGGCCUGCGUACGAUUAGAUAGUUGGUGAGGUAAUGGCUCACCAAGUCAACGAUCGUUAGAUGGUUUGAGAGGAUGAUCAUCCAGACUGGGACUGAGACACGGCCCAGACUCCUACGGGAGGCAGCAGUAGGGAAUCUUUCACAAUGGGCGAAAGCCUGAUGGAGCAAUGCCGCGUGCAGGACGAAGGCCUUCGGGUUGUAAACUGCUUUUAUAAGCGAGGAAUAUGACGGUAACUUAUGAAUAAGGAUCGGCUAACUACGUGCCAGCCGCCGC
rnacentral:rRNA from 1 species